rnacentral:tRNA from 1 species
GCUUCCAUAGUGUAGAGGUUAUCACGUCGGCUUCACACGCUGAAGUCCUCAGUUCGAUCCUGAGUGUA